UCAGGCUGGUUCUGUGUGGGGGAAGGGAAAGGCUUUCCUUUAGCUUGAUCAUGCCUUCAGGACUUCCCCAGCUGAGGAGGGAGAAUGAAAUAGGAGCUUUCAGAGUCUGCUUCACUUGUGGCUGGUUCCACAUUGCUCACAGACGGGAGAGAGGAAAUUUCUGCUUCUGAGGACCCACCAGGGAAAAAAUCGAAGAAAUGGCUGGAAUGUACAGAUGGAACUCCUCACAUGGUGCUUACCAAUUCUUGCUGCUUCUUAGAAACUGCCCUCCUGAGGGAUGAGGACCCGGGCUGUUCUUAAUAACUGUCCUAAUUCUUGGAUAUGUCUGGGGUUACCACAAGCCCUACAUUACCUGGAUUAAUGUACAUGACAACCCAAGGAGCACAACAAUCACUAUCAGGAACUGGGAUUUGUGAGAUAUGAAAUCACCAAGAAUGUGGACCUUUUGUAAUUAAUUAAGACAAGGUUAGGGGCACCUGGGUGGCUCAGUGGUUAAGCCUCUGCUCAGGUAAUGAUCUCAGAGUUCUGGGAUCAAGCCCUACAUCUGGCUCUCUGCUCAGCGGGGAGCCUGCU